rnacentral:rRNA from 1 species
AACGAACGCUGGCGGCAUGCCUAACACAUGCAAGUCGAACGAGACCUUCGGGUCUAGUGGCGCACGGGUGCGUAACACGUGGGAAUUUGCCUCGGGGUAUGGAAUAAACUCAGGGAAACUUGAGCUAAUACCAUAUAAUGUCUUCGGACCAAAGAUUUAUCGCCCUGAGAUAAGCCCGCGUAGGAUUAGCUAGUUGGUGGGGUAAAGGCUCACCAAGGCGACGAUCCUUAGCUGGUCUGAGAGGAUGAUCAGCCACACUGGGACUGAGACACGGCCCAGACUCCUACGGGAGGCAGCAGUGGGGAAUAUUGGACAAUGGGCGAAAGACCUGAUCCAGCAAUGCCGCCGUGAGUGAUGAAGGCCUCGGUUGUAAG